UGGCCGCCGAUAACGGAUGCAGCCGUGCACUCGCGACAAAUUUGUACCAUUAUAUUUCCGUAUUUACUUUGCAGCGCGGACCACGGGGCCAGUGCUUUGUUCUACGCGUAAUUACGUUCCCUGGUGCUUAAUUCACGACGAUUAAAUUGCACUCCUCCCUCCUUCCGCCCUUUCUAUCCCCACGCUCGUUAAUUUUCCCGAAAUAAGUGCAUCGUGCGAUCAUCAGAACUUUUGGAGGCCAUGCACUAUUACCGUUUCAUCAUAUUUGGUGGGACAAGGAAUAAUUUACUCGGGAAUAAUAUUUCAUCUCUGUGUGUGUAACAGCGUAUAACCUUCGAUCUCUAACAUUGCUUUUCGCAAAAAGCAAUGAGUCUUAAAUACUUAUGCUAGGUGGAAUUGCUAGAUGGAUUUGCCGAGUUGCGAGAUAAGAGAAAAGUGGUUAAGCACAUUAAACGCGUUUUUAUGAUUUUUGAUAGUGGUGUUACUUGAUUACCGGUGGGAAAAUAUUAUUAGGUUUUAACAUAUGAAAUAUUCAUUUGAAUUUCAUGUUUUUGCUCUAAUAAUAUGAGAGGUAGAUGCAUUGUUUGUGAUAUAUCUAUUACUAGGGCGCGUGCUGUCAUCAUCAGAGAGAAGUUUGCGGCUUCGGCAAAGGUGACACAAUAUUUCGAUGACGCUUCUGUAACAAGUAGAAAAGGGAGAGAGAAACACUUACGUUAGCUGUAACCGGUAAUUUAAUUAAGCAAUUGUCUUUAGUUGCAAGCCGCGCGCGCGCGAUCCUAUUCAACGUAGAAGUUGUAUUAUACUGUCUUUGCAAAUUAAUAACAGAUGUUGGUGAAAGCCAGACGUUGCAUUACGAAUUGAAUUACGCUAUGAAAGCGCGGAAGAUGCAGUUUCGAGUCGCCAUUGUUACGCAAUGAACAGCAUUACGCAUUAAGCUGCAUUCCAAAUAGAAUCGUUAUCGGGUUGUAUUUGAUGCGAAACGUUUUAACGGUCGAGAUAAGUAUGUUUUCUCAGUUUUCAUGUUUUUCUGUACGAUAAAAAUACUCUUACAUGUGGAAAAAAUGCAUUUUAAUCUGAGGAAUAUGUGAAAGAUCAUGAUUUUUUUGACAAUUCGAAAAAAAAUAUUUAUAAAUACGAAUUGAAAAAGAAUAUGUAAUCGAAUAUAGAUAAUGUUAUCUUGAAUUUUAUUUUUAUCGAAAUUUUUAUUUUUAUUUUUAAAUUGAACAUAAAUUGUGCAAACGAAUUGAUAAAAGUUUUUUGUAUUAUAUUAUUUCUAAAUAUAUAAAUAUUUCGGUAAAGUUUCUUUUUUUAUUUUAUAUUAUAUAUUCUUUUUUAAGAAGGAAAUAAUUUCAGCUUAUAUUUUUAAACCAAAUAAACUCCAACAAAUUUACGAAUUUGUGAUUUAUAAAUAAUUCUCAACAAUCAAUUAAAACGUAAAAGAAAAAAAUUUUUUGUAUAAAUAAAUAUAAUAAUAAAGCAGAAAAAAAAUGUCUCAAAAUUCAAUUUAUUAUUUUUAUGUAUAAUGUAUUUUUAUUAAAAUCAGAAAAUAAAUAUAUAAAAGAUAAAAAUUAUUUGAAAAAAAUUUUGACGAAUAAUAGUUUGAAAUAAAAAAUUUAAUGUUGUAUUAUUUAAUAGCUGCAAUAAAACAUAGUUAAGAAAAAAAUAUCUCAAAAUUAUGAUUAUAGAAAGAAAUACGCUUUAUCAGUAUUAAAAAAUAAUAAAAAUAGCCAUAAAAUCAAAAUGAUUUGAACAAAAUAUUUGUAUCUAAAUAUAUUCAUAUUAAGAAUUAAGAACAUUACGUAAUUGAACAAAUACUAAAAAACAGAAUUUAAAAAAAGAGAUAUCUCUUAUUAAAAUAAGAAAAAAAUAUAUACAUAAUUUAUAGAAUAUAUUUAAGUAAAAAAUGUUCUUUUCAAAUGGAGCAAAUUCUAUAAUUUAACAAUUACAUGAAAGAAAACAGACAAAACAAGAAAUUGAAGUCAAAAAAGAAAGGUGUCUCAAAGUUCCACAACUCUUCCGACUUCUAAUGAAAUUCUUCGAAUGCACCGGAUUUCCUGGUCGGACGUCGACAAAAGGAGGGACCGACCGCGAUCGAACUCAUUAUAAAAUCGAACCAUUCUAGGAGGAUGCAACGACGCGACGUUCAAGCUAAAAUCAUUCCUGACACGUAAUCCUGUUACCGACGGAGGCAAAGGAAGCGAAGACCGAACAAAGCGUCCAAUUAAAAUUAUGCAACGUCCAUUGUGCUCGUUAUCGCGUGCCUAUCAUCGACAGAAUCAACAACGACUUCGAGAACUCGUGUCCUCCGAUGUAAACGGUCGAAGAAGAAGAACGAGAAGAAAUUUCACCUCUACGAAUUUCCCAUUAUUCGUAACCAUCCUAACCGAAAUCGGUGACAAAUUCGUUUUCCUUGCUGCCGCGUUUCCGUAUUUACUUCUGCUACGCUGCUUUGUCCUCGCGUAAUUACGUUCUGCGGUGGUUUAACAACCGACAAUUACUCGCCUGCUAGUUGUUAAUUUCCCUUGGAAUAAAAGACGACAACGACAUCGCUAUACCGAUGAGGCGUAAUAUCAGAGGGAGGAACCGUGAUACCAAUCUUACGAUUUUGCACGAGGUACAAAGACGAUCCCCUUGGUUCCAUUUUGGCUCGAUAAACGGAACUUACCGACAACGGGGGCUUCGCAAUGGUGACGUUAUCACAGUGUGCGGAGACAUAACUGGCAUUUUGAAUUGACUAAAUUUUAAAGAAGACGCGUGGGUUGCAGUUAGACGUGAGUUUGACAUAAAGUAGGCUUAAUUAUAUCGUUUCUAUGAAUUGUAUAAUUUAAAAACUGACUUUGGUUUUGAAGAAUUUAUAUAGGUUAUUGGAAUUGUAAAUGAAUUAAGUUUUUAUAAUGUUUUGUGAAUUUGGUUUUUAAAUCAUAUUUGCGAUCUUUGUAGUCAAAGAUUUUCAUGAAUGUUUAAUAUUUUUUUCAUCAAUUCAUAGUCCAACUUUAUUUAUUUAUUGAUUUGCAAAUCAAUUUAAAUUUAUUUUAAUAUCAUUAUUAUUAUUUAAAAUUAUUUUUUCUCUCUUCCUAGUUAAAGAUUUUCAAGUUGUACAUUAUUUUUUUUUAUCGAUUCAAAUUCCAAUUCAAAUUCGAAGUUUAUAAUUUUAUUAUUAAAAUUUUUACGUAAUUAAAAUAUAUUUUGCAAGUCACAGUCAUAUAGUUUUUAAGUAAAUUUUAUUUAAUUUUAUAUUUAACUUUAGAAUUACUCUAUUUGAUGUAAAAUUAUAAAAUUAAAUAAUUUAGAGGUAAACUUAUAACUUAUAACUUAUAACUUUUAUUAUUAAAAUUUUAUCAAGUGAUUAAUAUUUAUAAUUAUAUGAUUAUUAAGUUAUUGUACAAUUAUUAUUAAAUUAUUAUAUUAUCCAGAUAAUGACUGAAAUCAUAAGUUAAGAAUAUUUUAAAAUAAAUGAAAAUAAUCUCAUUAA